AGAGGACGGGCAGCCGGCAGGGUGGAGGGACAGGUGGGAGUCACGCCAGCUCCAACCAGGUCUAGAACCCAAACCUUCAACCCCUGAGCUUUCCUGCCUUCGAGUCCUCGGAGCUCUCCUGGAGGCUGAGCAGGCAACAGAGCCUGCUCCUCAGCUGGAUGUGGCCCGUGGGAGGUCUCUCAUCUGGGAAGUGGGAUGAUAGCGCCAACCUAGCUGGAUUGCUGUGACUGCCAGCACAAUGCCUUCUAAGGGUUCAAGAUGAGAUUACUUAGUCCCAGAUGGGUUAAGUAACUGGCCCAAGGUCACAGCGCUGGUAAGCAACUGGGCUUCAAUCCAACCAUCCUGACUCCAGAAGCCUCUUUGAACUACCACCUUCUGCACCUGCCCCAGGGCUUCUUCGCCUGAGCCGGUGCCUUGCUGCCGCCCUGCUCAUCUCUUCUGGGAAGAUGCCUCUCAUCUUGCCAGUCCUCAAGCCAGAAGCCUCCGGUGCUGCCCUAGGGCUCCCUGAAUAGGCAUCCCUAAGGCAUCCCUCCUGGUGUUCAAACCACAUCCUUCCUGGCUAAGCUUCCAUUCCCCAGGGUAGCCCUCCACACUUUGGAGCCUCAGCUCACCUCUCACUCUCACACUUCAGUUUCACACUUCCCUUCUGAAUGGUCCCACCUCUGUGCUUUUGCUUAAGCUGUGCACACUUCCCAGAGUGCUCUUUCCCCUAUGUCUGCCUGUGCUCCAAUACCCUAUGCCUGAGCUGACCCAUGACAUACAAGCACCUACAGAGGCCUGGGGGAAGGAGGCAGUGGUAUGUGUGUCAGUGUGGGGAGUCAGUGAAGAGGUUUGGGGCUUUAGGGUCAGUUAUGUGACUUCAGGGCAAGUCCCCAUCUCCCUGAACCCCAGUUUCUGCAAAAUGAAGAUAUCCAUCCCAGCUUCUCCCAAGGU
ensembl:lncRNA novel transcript